GGGCCAUUAGCUCAGGUGGUAGAGCACCGCCCUUUUAAGGCGGCUGUCUGCAGUUCGAGUCUGCAAUGGCUCA
rnacentral:tRNA from 1 species